rnacentral:misc_RNA from 1 species
UUUUCGUAGGUGAACCUGCGGAAGGAUCAUUAGUGAAUUCAAAAUUCUUUCCUUUGGGAAAGUGCAGCUAGGGUCCUUGUACCCAAGUUGUAGAAUACACAUCCUUAACACCUGUGAACUGUCUGUCAAGAACAAGGCUUCGGCCUUGGACUUGUACAUUUUACCAAACUUUACUCUGUAAAAAAUGUCAAUCUAUUAUCAACUUAAUAAAACUUUUAACAACGGAUCUCUUGGCUCUCGCAUCGAUGAAGAACGCAGC